GGGAUUGCCCUAGUAACGGCGAGUGAAGCGGCAACAGCUCAAAUUUGAAAUCUGGCUUUCGGGCCCGAGUUGUAAUUUGUAGAGGAUGAUUUUGAUGCGGUGCCUUCCGAGUUCCCUGGAACGGGACGCCAUAGAGGGUGAGAGCCCCGUCUGGUUGGAUGCCAAAUCUCUGUAAAUCUCCUUCGACGAGUCGAGUAGUUUGGGAAUGCUGCUCUAAAUGGGAGGUAUAUGUCUUCUAAAGCUAAAUACCGGCCAGAGACCGAUAGCGCACAAGUAGAGUGAUCGAAAGAUGAAAAGCACUUUGAAAAGAGAGUUAAAAAGUACGUGAAAUUGUUGAAAGGGAAGCGUUUAUGACCAGACUUGGGCUUGGUUAAUCAUCUGGGGUUCUCUCCAGUGCACUUUUCCAGCCCAGGCCAGCAUCAGUUUUCGCCGGGGGAUAAAGACUUCGGGAAUGUGGCUCCCCUCGGGGAGUGUUAUAGCCCGUUGUGUAAUACCCUGGUGGGGACUGAGGUUCGCGCUUCUGCAAGGAUGCUGGCGUAAUGGUCAUCAACGACCCGUCUUGAAACACGGACCAAGGAGUCGUCUUCGUAUGCGAGUGUUCGGGUGUCAAACCCCUACGCGUAAUGAAAGUGAACGCAGGUGAGAGCUUCGGCGCAUCAUCGACCGAUCCUGAUGUUCUCGGAUGGAUUUGAGUAAGAGCAUACGGGGCCGGACCCGAAAGAAGGUGAACUAUGCCUGUGUAGGGUGAAGCCAGAGGAAACUCUGGUGGAGGCUCGCAGCGGUUCUGACGUGCAAAUCGAU
rnacentral:rRNA from 1 species